rnacentral:rRNA from 1 species
GAACGGGAUCCUUCGGGAUUUAGUGGCGGACGGGUGAGUAACGCGUGAGAGUCUGCCCUUAGGUUGGGGACAACAGUUGGAAACGACCGCUAAUACCCAAUGUGCCGAGAGGUGAAAGGUUAACUGCCUGGGGAUGAGCUCGCGUCUGAUUAGCUAGUUGGAGUGGUAACGGCACACCAAGGCGACGAUCAGUAGCUGGUCUGAGAGGAUGAUCAGCCACACUGGGACUGAGACACGGCCCAAACUCCUACGGGAGGCAGCAGUGGGGAAUUUUCCGCAAUGGGCGAAAGCCUGACGGAGCAAGACCGCGUGAGGGAGGAAGGCCUAUUGGUUGUAAACCUCUUUUGAUAGGGAAGAACACAAUGACGGUACCUAUCGAAUCAGCAUCGGCUAACUCCGUGCCAGCAGCCGCGGUAAUACGGAGGAGGCAAGCGUUAUCCGGAAUUAUUGGGCGUAAAGAGUCCGUAGGUGGGUGACCAAGUCAGUUGUUAAAUAGUGAAGCUUAACUUCAUAGAGGCGACUGAAACUGGUCAUCUAGAGUGUGGUAGGGGUAGAGGGAAUUUCCAGUGUAGCGGUGAAAUGCGUAGAUAUUGGAAAGAACACCGGUGGCGAAAGCGCUCUACUGGGCCUGCACUGACACUGAGGGACGAAAGCUAGGGGAGCGAAAGGGAUUAGAUACCCCUGUAGUCCUAGCCGUAAACGAUGAUAACUAGGUGUUGCCCGUAUCGACCCGAGCCGUGCCGA